GAUGAACGCUGACAGAAUGCUUAACACAUGCAAGUCAACUUGAAUUUGGGUUUUUAACUUAGGUUUGGGUGGCGGACGGGUGAGUAACGCGUAAAGAACUUGCCUCACAGCUAGGGACAACAUUUGGAAACGAAUGCUAAUACCUAAUAUUAUGAUAAUAGGGCAUCCUAUAAUUAUGAAAGCUAUAAGCGCUGUGAGAGAGCUUUGCGUCCCAUUAGCUAGUUGGAGAGGUAACGGCUCACCAAGGCGAUGAUGGGUAGCCGGCCUGAGAGGGUGAUCGGCCACAAGGGGACUGAGACACGGCCCUUACUCCUACGGGAGGCAGCAGUGGGGAAUAUUGGACAAUGGACCAAGAGUCUGAUCCAGCAAUUCUGUGUGCACGAUGAAGUUUUUCGGAAUGUAAAGUGCUUUCAGUUGGGAAGAAAGAAAUGACGGUACCAACAGAAGAAGUGACGGCUAAAUACGUGCCAGCAGCCGCGGUAAUACGUAUGUCACGAGCGUUAUCCGGAUUUAUUGGGCGUAAAGCGCGUCUAGGUGGUUAUAUAAGUCUGAUGUGAAAAUGCAGGGCUCAACUCCGUAUUGCGUUGGAAACUGUAUAACUAGAGUACUGGAGAGGUAAGCGGAACUACAAGUGUAGAGGUGAAAUUCGUAGAUAUUUGUAGGAAUGCCGAUGGGGAAGCCAGCUUACUGGACAGAUACUGACGCUGAAGCGCGAAAGCGUGGGUAGCAAACAGG
rnacentral:rRNA from 1 species